rnacentral:rRNA from 1 species
UACGUAGGGGGCAAGCGUUGUCCGGAUUUAUUGGGCGUAAAGGGCGCGUAGGCGGCUUGGCAAGUGGAUGGUGAAAUCCCUCGGCUUAACCGAGGAACUGCCGUCCAAACUGCUUUGCUUGAGACCGGGAGAGGUGAGUGGAAUUCCCAGUGUAGCGGUGAAAUGCGUAGAUAUUGGGAGGAACACCGAGUGGCGAAGGCGGCUCACUGGACCGGUACUGACGCUGAUGCGCGAAAGCGUGGGGAGCAAACGGGG